rnacentral:rRNA from 1 species
AAAAGUUUAACGGCCGCGGUAUUUUGACCGUGCGAAGGUAGCGUAAUCACUUGUCUUUUAAAUGAAGACCUGUAUGAAUGGCAUAACGAGGGCUCAACUGUCUCCUUUUUCCAGUCAGUGAAAUUGACCUGCUCGUGCAGAGGCGAGCAUAAACCCAUAAGACGAGAAGACCCUAUGGAGCUUAAACACAAGAUCAACUAUGCUAUCAAGCCUAUCACCCACGGGAAUAACAGCUAAAAGCAUAAUAGUACCCUGAUCCUAAUGUUUUCGGUUGGGGCGACCACGGAGGACAAAAUAACCUCCAUGUCGACGGGGGCACUGCCCCUAAAACCUAGGGCGACAGCCCAAAGCAACAGAACAUCUGACGAACAAUGACCCAGGCUACAAGCCUGAUCAACGAACCAAGUUACCCUAGGGAUGGCAGCGCAAUCCUUUCUAAGAGUCCAUAUCGACGAAAGGGUUUACGGACCUCGAUGUUGGAUCAGGCACAUCCUAAUGGUGCAGCCGCUAUUAAGGG